rnacentral:rRNA from 1 species
GUGGGGAAUUUUGGACAAUGGGCGAAAGCCUGAUCCAGCCAUGCCGCGUGCAGGAUGAAGGCCUUCGGGUUGUAAACUGCUUUUGUACGGAACGAAAAGACUCCUUCUAAUAAAGGGGGUCCAUGACGGUACCGUAAGAAUAAGCACCGGCUAACUACGUGCCAGCAGCCGCGGUAAUACGUAGGGUGCAAGCGUUAAUCGGAAUUACUGGGCGUAAAGCGUGCGCAGGCGGUUAUAUAAGACAGAUGUGAAAUCCCCGGGCUCAACCUGGGAACUGCAUUUGUGACUGUAUAGCUAGAGUACGGCAGAGGGGGAUGGAAUUCCGCGUGUAGCAGUGAAAUGCGUAGAUAUGCGGAGGAACACCGAUGGCGAAGGCAAUCCCCUGGGCCUGUACUGACGCUCAUGCACGAAAGCGUGGGGAGCAAACAGGAUUAGAUACCCCAGUAGUCC